UACGUAGGGGGCUAGCGUUGUCCGGAAUCAUUGGGCGUAAAGCGCGCGUAGGCGGCUACUUAAGUCGGAUGUGAAAGCCCCUUGGCUCAACUGAGGAAGUGCACCCGAAACUGAGUGGCUUGAGUACGAAAGAGGGUCGCGGAAUUCCCGGUGUAGAGGUGAAAUUCGUAGAUAUCGGGAGGAACACCGGUGGCGAAGGCGGCGACCUGGGUCGAUACUGACGCUGAUGCGCGAAAGCGUGGGGAGCAAACAGG
rnacentral:rRNA from 1 species